GACUAUGGCCAUACCACCCUGAUCUCGGAAGCUAAGCAGAGUCGGGACUGGUUAGUACUUGGAUGGGAGACCGCCUGGAAAUACCAGGUGUUGUAGGCU